UGUGUGACCUUAGGCAAGCCAGUUAACCUAUCUGUGCCUCCAUUUCCCCAUCUGCAACAUGUAGGAACAACAGUGCUACCUUGAAGGGUUCUGGUAGGAUUACAUGAGGCCAGGAUGGGCCUGGCCUGAGAUCUGUGCUACUUAAGUAUUGACAUUAUAAUUACACCAAUGUGCUCACAAGAUGUACACAGGGGCUCAGGGACAUAGACACACACACUCCACCGACACACUCACCUGUGCCCACAGACUUCCUCAUAUACUUGGACACCCUCCCCUCCCUCCCUCCUGGCCCUCUCACCUGAAGUGGGUGCCAUGGAUGGCCUUGGUGCACUGGUCACCGGCUUCACCAGGGCCACGGCCUCUCUGGACACCUGUCCCACCCCAAAGAGACUGCUCAGGGGGCAACAGGCAGGCCCUGUGGAGGGGCAGUGGCAGGGCCACAGCUUAUAGGGGUAGCUGGUUUCUGAGGAUCCCUGAGGCCCCUCUUUGUCUUCUGUUCCACCUGGGCUCAGCCCCACCUUCCCCCCUCACCUGGGUGCCAGGUGCAGCUGCCAGGUGGGUCAUCUGCCCUUUCAGGAUCAUCAGGGCCUCCUCAUGAGGGUCUGGCCGCUUCAUGAACACUUUCCCGCCAUCCUUCCUGUGGGCAUUGGAGUACUGUGGUGGGUUGACACUGAGUCUCCCUUUCCCAUCACAUAGUUUGACAGUAGGAAACUUCCUCCUCCUCCACCACCCCCUAUCAUUAUAAAUGAGAAUCCAGGGAGAAGCAGAGACUGGCCUGAAGUCCUACAGCACAACCUAGACAACAGCAGGGCCUCAUCUGGACUCAUCAGUAUAAAGAAACUCCCUCCCUAACAGGAGCUGGGCAGGGCGCUUCAACCCAAUCCAGGAGUGACUGCUGGAACUUGGCGGCCACAGUGUGCGCCUUGUAG
rnacentral:lncRNA from 1 species